AUCAGGAUGUAUAGCUCCUGCAUAGAAUUGUGUCGUCACAUAUCCUGCAUUUUUAUCGAAAAUGGUUUGACCUCCGUUUUCGCUCAGCCAGAUUCCUCCAUCAUUUCCAAAGAGGACUCUUCCUUGUUUUUUAGGGUCGAAGGUGAUGUUGUGCUGGUCAGCGUGCAAACCUCCGGGUAAGAAAGACCAGGAAAUACCCUGGAAACUACUUUCUAAAGCUGGCACACCCCCUGCUAUGAUUCGGCCACAAUUAAAUGGGUCGGCUGCUAUUUCGAGAUCAUACCAUGCCUGCAUAUUGGUGAAGUCUUGUCCAGCGGAAAGUCCGGGAGCAGACCGUGAUAUCCAACUUUCGCCUCCAUUGUUGGAGACAUAUGUAUUGGAAGCAGAUCCACCAACAGAUCCAAGAACAUACAUCACAUCAGGAUUUGAUGCGCAUACGGCAAGUUCUGUUCUGAUAAGGUUUGUAGGAAAUCCAGGUUUGGCUGUUCCGAUAUUAGUCCAUUCUCCUCUGUUACCUGUAGUUGAUUUGAAAACAGAGUUUUCAUUCGAGGUAUAGAAUGUCUGAUUCACCUCAUUGUAUAUAAAAUCAAAAAAAUUAUUGUUGCUUGCUCCGGAAAGGGAAACGCCUAACACUCUUUCCCAGGUAUUGCCCGCGUCUCUACUUUUUAAUAAUCCACCGGACGCUGUACCCGCGUACACAUCACCAUUGGUAUGUACAUAGAUUUCAUGGACGUCCUGGAAAUUGCUUCCUUUGGUUGAUGCAAGCCAUUCCCAGGUUUCUCCAUCAUCGAAGGAUUUAAAGAUCCCCGCUCCUGUAACUGCAUCAAUGUUUGGAAAACCUUCACCAGUUCCGACAUAGAUAAUAUCAUGGUCAUUCGGAUCCUGUGCGAUACAACCUAUAGCCAGGUUGUCCACUUGCAGGGUCAAUUUUCUCCAUUGUGGAUUUUGCUGCGUGAUAUCUUCAGUGCGCCAUACACCACCUGAUACGCUACCAAUCCAAAUCCGGUUACGGUUAGGAUCUCCGGCAUCGAUCAUGAUCGCACGCGUUCUACCCCAAUAUUGUUGGGACCUCUUUCACGCCAGACCGCAUUCGUCAGGCUUACCCCACCGCUACGGUUAUUUGCAUGCGUUGGAUUUUCAAUCCGCCUUUGGCCUUCAGCGAUUGCACUAAAGAGUUUGUGAUAAGGGAUAUAACCAAGAUCAAUAUCUCUUGAGGUAAAAAUCAUAUCCUCUAUAGCUCCUUCGAUCCUUUGCUCCUUGGUGAGUUUCCCUGGCUUUGGAGAAGAGGUCUCAUUGAAGUAAGGUGUAAAAAAAAGUAGGGCUAUUGCAAAUACAGGAAUGAGGUAUAAGAGUUUGCGCAUUCUCAGGUUCUUAUUUUUAAUUUAAUUCAAUCUCCGGCAAUGCCUUUCAAGGUUACU
rnacentral:misc_RNA from 1 species